AAAAAAAAAAAAAAAAAACUCUUCCUCGACCGACAUCGUCGUCUUCAAUAAGAACCCUACCUUCUUCUAUUUGGUAUGCUAUUAAGGCCUUCCAUUUUCUUCUUCAAUUAAUUCCUUCGUUUCGCAAAUAUAAACAAAAACGGAGAAAGGAAACCUCUCAGAUCUGACAACUCCCUCUCUCAGAUCCAUGGCUCCUUUGUUUCUCUUCUCUUUCUUUUCUUCUCUUCU
rnacentral:misc_RNA from 1 species